GACGAACGCUGGCGGCGCGCCUAACACAUGCAAGUCGAACGAGCGAGAGAGAGCUUGCUUUCUCGAGCGAGUGGCGAACGGGUGAGUAACGCGUGAGGAACCUGCCUCAAAGAGGGGGACAACAGUUGGAAACGACUGCUAAUACCGCAUAAGCCCACGACCCGGCAUCGGGUUGAGGGAAAAGGAGCAAUCCGCUUUGAGAUGGCCUCGCGUCCGAUUAGCUAGUUGGCGGGGUAACGGCCCACCAAGGCGACGAUCAGUAGCCGGACUGAGAGGUUGAACGGCCACAUUGGGACUGAGACACGGCCCAG
rnacentral:rRNA from 1 species